rnacentral:lncRNA from 1 species
AGAAAGCCUUGACUUGGGGCACACAGAGGGAUAUAGAAACUGGGAGUUGAAUACAGCCAUUCCAUGGGUUACCAUUGAAUGAUUAUGACCAGCAAGAAAGGUGGGGCAGGCUCAAUAUUCACACACAAAAACAUCAAUGAGGAAACAAAACAGGUCUUCAUAGUGACUCACUCACUAUCCUUUACCCAUUCUGGUGGACUCUAAUAUUACAGAAAAGAAACCACUCAUUCAAAAUCGAAGGAAUUUUUAAAUUUAUUUCUCUUCAUAUUUUGUGGCUUUGGGUUUUUUCUUUUCUGUACUGUUUUGUUUAUUUUGCUCUCUAUGUUUUCUUCUAUUUCUUAUCUGUUCCUUUCUGUUACUUUUAUCUAAUUUUAUUAAAUUUAUUUUACUAACUAGGAUCUUUUAUCUCAUUUU